rnacentral:rRNA from 1 species
GAUGAACGCUAGCUACAGGCUUAACACAUGCAAGUCGAGGGGAAACGAUAUUGGAAGCUUGCUUCCGAUAGGCGUCGACCGGCGCACGGGUGAGUAACGCGUAUCCAACCUGCCCACCACUUGGGGAUAACCUUGCGAAAGUAAGACUAAUACCCAAUGACGUCUCUAGAAGACAUCUGAAAGAGAUUAAAGAUUUAUCGGUGAUGGAUGGGGAUGCGUCUGAUUAGCUUGUUGGCGGGGUAACGGCCCACCAAGGCAACGAUCAGUAGGGGUUCUGAGAGGAAGGUCCCCCACAUUGGAACUGAGACACGGUCCAAACUCCUACGGGAGGCAGCAGUGAGGAAUAUUGGUCAAUGGGCGAGAGCCUGAACCAGCCAAGUAGCGUGCAGGACGACGGCCCUAUGGGUUGUAAACUGCUUUUAUAAGGGAAUAAAGUGAGCCACGUGUGGUUUUUUGCAUGUACCCUAUGAAUAAGGACCGGCUAAUUCCGUG